AAGACCUUGCGCUUUUGGAGCGGCCGAUGCCUGAUUAGCUUGUUGGUAAGGUAAAAGCUUACCAAGGCUUCGAUCAGUAGCUGGUCUGAGAGGACGACCAGCCACACUGGGACUGAGACACGGCCCAGACUCCUACGGGAGGCAGCAGUGGGGAAUUUUGGACAAUGGGGGCAACCCUGAUCCAGCCAUGCCGCGUGAGUGAAGAAGGCCUUCGGGUUGUAAAGCCCUUUCAGCCGGAACGAAACGGUUACGGUUAAUACCCAUGACUACUGACGGUACCGGAAGAAGAAGCACCGGCUAACUACGUGCCAGCAGCCGCGGUAAUACGUAGGGUGCGAGCGUUAAUCGGAAUUACUGGGCGUAAAGCGUGCGCAGGUGGUUUUGUAAGUCAGAUGUGAAAGCCCCGGGCUCAACCUGGGAACU
rnacentral:rRNA from 1 species